CACAUCCUGCAUAUGGAAAUUAAAACACUGACUGGGUUUUUUUAAUUUGCAUUUGGUCUGGUGUUUUAGGUCCCUCAUGAUAGACUGCCUCUCUGUUGUGUUAAAAUAUUGCAAAGGUGAUGGUUUUUGAAUGAUCCACCUCUCUAAGUGGCUGUAAUUUCAUUGCAAGUCCUCUGACAUCUUUUCUGGCUGAGAUUGGAAGAAAUCAGACCUAGAAAUUCAGAAUAAAGGAAUACACAAUUUCAUUCAGCUCCUUUUGGUGUUGGAACCAAACACAAGAGUCUAAUUAUUGAAAUAUUAUUAUUAAACAAUGUUUAAUAUUAUCCUCCUUUUUUCCAGCUGUAACUUGUGGUAAUUGGUCUCUGAAUGGAUUUUCUGUGGUGCUCAGAAUUUGACCCUUAAUGCCAGCAUUAGAUGGACAGUGGAAAGCUUGUAAAUUUUCAAGGUCUUCAGCCCUCUGUUGUCACAAGGUAAUGACUGGAAAGAAUACAAUGAAGGCCUUUAUCUUCACAUGAGAAUUAAAAGCCAUUAAUGCCACACAAAGCUUUCCCUUGGGAAAGUGACCAGAAGCAGCCUGUAGCUGACAUUGGCAACCUCUGGGGAGAAAAACAGAAGUGGGAGCUGACUGAAGCAUGAACAACUUCUAGAUGAAACACAUGUCUCAUGGAAAGUGGAUUACUUUUUUUUUUUUCCCAAGCAAACCUUCCCCUCUAUUUCAACUGCUGUAGCAAAUCUUAUUGCUAGUGGUACAAAGAAAAUAAAAUUCAUUUAAUUCACA
rnacentral:lncRNA from 1 species